CUGAACUUAAGCAUAUCAAUAAGCGGAGGAAAAGAAACCAACAGGGAUUGCCCUAGUAACGGCGAGUGAAGCGGCAACAGCUCAAAUUUGAAAUCUGGCUUCCUCUCAGGAGCCCGAGUUGUAAUUUGCAGAGGAUGCUUUUGGCACGGCACCGAACAAGUUCCCUGGAACGGGACGCCACAGAGGGUGAGAGCCCCGUCUGGUCGGACGCCUAGCCUCUAUAAAGCUCCUUCGACGAGUCGAGUAGUUUGGGAAUGCUGCUCAAAUUGGGAGGUAUAUGUCUUCUAAAGCUAAAUACCGGCUAGAGACCGAUAGCGCACAAGUAGAGUGAUCGAAAGAUGAAAAGCACUUUGAAAAGAGGGUUAAAUAGCACGUGAAAUUGCUAAAAGGGAAGCGCUUACAACUAGACGUAGGGGCAUUCAAUCACCUGGUGGUUUCCGCCAGGCACUUGGGUGUUUUUCCUAGGCCAGCAUCGGUUUGCUGCGGGGGAUAAAGACGCUAGGAAUGUAGCCUCUCGGGGGGUAUUAUAGCCUGGCGCGUAAUGCCCUGCAGCAGAGCCGAGGUCUGCGUAUUCUGUACAAGGAUGCUGGCGUAAUAGUUGUUAGCGACCCGUCUUGAAACACGGACCAAGGAGUCGACCUCGUAUGCGAGUAUUUGGGUGUAAAACCCCUGUGCGAAAUGAAAGUGAAGCUAGGUGAGAGCCUGUUACAGGGUGCAUCACCGACCGAUCCUGAUGUUCUCGGAUGGAUUUGAGUAAGAGCAUACGGGGCCGGACCCGAAAGAAGGUGAACUAUGCCUGCGUAGGGUGAAGCCAGAGGAAACUCUGGUGGAGGCUCGCAGCGGUUCUGACGUGCAAAUCGAUCGUCAAACGUGGGCAUGGGGGCGAAAGACUAAUCGAACCUUCUAGUAGCUGGUUUCCGCCGAAGUUUCCUCAGGAUAGCAGUGUCGAGCUCAGUUUUAUGAGGUAAAGCGAAUGAUUAGGGACUCGGGGGCGCCUUUUAGCCUUCAUCCAUUCUCAAACUUUAAAUAUGUAAGAAGCCCUUGUUGCUUUAUUGAACGUGGGCCUUCGAAUGUAGCGACACUAGUGGGCCAUUUUUGGUAAGCAGAACUGGCGAUGCGGGAUGAACCGAACGCGAGGUUAAGGUGCCGGAGUGGACGCUCAUCAGACACCACAAAAGGCGUUAGUACAUCUUGACAGCAGGACGGUGGCCAUGGAAGUCGGAAUCCGCUAAGGACUGUGUAACAACUCACCUGCCGAAUGUACUAGCCCUGAAAAUGGAUGGCGCUCAAGCGUCCCACCCAUACCUCGCCCUUGGGGCAGGAUCGAAGCCCCAAGGAGUAGGCGGACGUAGGGGUUAUAGAGCACGAACGCUAUAAGUGAGCC
rnacentral:rRNA from 1 species